UCCGGUAUGGUGUAUCGGCUAGCAUCCGUCGCUUUCAUCAACCUUCUGGUAAUGUCAGCUUCCGACGAGAGCCGGGUUCGACUCCCGGUACCGGAA